UCAUCAGCGAAGCCGCAGGAAACUUGCUCACCUUUCACACCAGUUUAUCGCGACGGGCUGUUUACGCCGCCCGGCAGUGUUAAAUUGGAACAUUCGAGGAUCGGGAUUGACAACAUUCUAUCAUUCUCGGUGCGCGGAAACUUCUGGCUUGAUUCUUCACAUAGUAACGGGGGGCUGCGUGCUCCUCCGCCAUGCCCCAGAAACCGGAUCACACCGCCAUUAAAUGAACGACCACCUAGUUGUUACAUCACACAACCGAAUCAGCAUUUGCCACAGGAACCCAGGCCCGGGGGUACCAGCAAUAUAGCUGCACAAACACUGUGCGCCCCAACGGUCCCGAAUCAUCAGGCCUCAUCCUCUGCAGAACCCUGAAGCUGGUUAUAACCAUAGAAGGUCACCUCAAAGCACUGUGAAUAUGGAGGAUUUACAACACAGAUGAAUUGACGCCUUCACUCGAGCUGUGGACUUGCUAGAAUCUAUGUGGACAUCAUAGAUUCUUUUUUCAACGGAGAAACUAAUGCCGGCAUGAAGAUUUGAUCGUGAAGACGAACCUAACCCUAAACUAACCCUCUGAGCUGUGGAGACCUACACCCGGCGGACAUCUAUUACGUCUCCAAGGAGCUUAAUACUUUAUAUCUAUGUCUUUUUAAUAUUAUUAUCCUCAUUUUAACCUAUGUACGUUAUAGGUUUUUCUCUUUUAUACUCAUAUUAGCCAUUUUUUACAUUCAACAUUAUACUAGUCAACGUUUUGUUUUGUAUUCAAAAUGGAAAACGCAGGGUAUUCUGAAUUAGAUAAUAAUCCCCAUCUUGAUAAUGAACUGACACAAACUACAGAUGAUAAUGACAAUCACAUAACAGCCCAAAAUGAAACUUUACCAUUACCUAAUGGUCAAGAUAUUGUAGCGAUACAAUCUAAUGCAGAUGAUAAUGACGAGCUCAUAACAAUACAAAAUGAAACCUCUCAGUUAUCUAAUGUUCACCAAAACAGUCCAAAUCUUGGAAGAUUGUGUCAAUCGCUUCAACCCGUUAGAAACACAGAGAUCUGAGGAGAUGACGGCUGAUUCCCAUAUUCAAAGUGGCUGGGAAACAGUACGGCGUGAACAUUUCAAUAAUAUACAGAUCACACAACCGUUGAGAAUUUCGACAUCUGAAAACAAGUGGGUUCCUGAUUUGGGAUCUUUUUAUACCGAGGUGCUGAGUAAUGUAUACAACGUAAUCGAUGAGGUCAUUUCAAUUGUGGUAUCUGGUGAUAUCGUACAAUUGGAGUUGGUUGGUGAAAAUGUGAGACAGCAUGAGAUCGUUCACGUGUCAGAUGACUCGGACAUUCAUGAAACAUUCCAAGAUUUACUUGAUUGCGUAGUACAAUCAAAUUCAGAAAUCAUGGCCAAUGAUAACCUUGACUUUGGAGUACAAAUUGUAACUGGUCAAUGGGGAGGCGGCGUGAGACGCAAACUGUCAGAGACAUUGGAUUGUCAAAUACUCAAAAAGAAAAAAAACGACAUCUCUACAUACCCCUGAACAAAGACAGUAAUGUUUCGCAGCAUCACUAGCCUACUUAUUAGAUAAUACACUGACAAAUGCAGAGGCUAUUCAACGAGCACACGAAAUUUAAAGAUCUGUAGGUCUGGAUGAUCAGACAGCUGUGGGGUUAGCUGAUAUCCAUAAAUUCAACACCCAUUUGAACCUUAAAAGUCUUGCUUUACAGAAAAAAGGAGGGGCAACCGUUAAGCCAUUUUGAGACAAACUACUACUACUACCGACAUCUUGCUAUUGUUUCUGACACAAAACCACUACUGUGCGGUAAUUUCAGCUAAUGGUUUUCUCGGACAUCACUACUUUUGUUGGUUUUGCUAUAAAGGGCAUCAGAACCCACAUACACAUUAUUGUCAUUGGCACUGUUAUGUUUGUUAUCGAUCCAACUUGCAUGGAGUCAGCGUUAACACCUAUCCAUUGCGUGGAUUGUGUCAGAUUCCGCUUAUCCGCAGGACUAAUCGGGAGAAAUGUCUUGACCGACUCUCCGUUUAAAGGGUUAAUAGCCCCUGUUAUAUAGCAGGAGCUUUCCAAGCCGGUAUCGAGAUGAAUUCGCCUAGGUGUGCUAACUGCCUUUAGUUUUACGGAGCCAAUCCGGUCUGCUCUCACUUAUCAACCCUUGAUGAGUAACCACACCGAGUAAAAGGACAAUAAUGUGAGCGCUCCGUUUUUACAGCAGCUCCAUCUCUUAUGAAUCGUUUGCACUUGUUAUUGACUUAGUAGAUUUAACAAUCCUUGUUAGGACCGUACGGAUUUGUUUUUGUUUUAAGCCGAAGUGAUAUCGAUGAGUUACUUUUUGGGGAUAAUAUUACGACACGGUGAUAUUAGUGUCUCCGACGUUCAUUCACUUAUAAGAGGUUGAGUGGUAAGUAUGAGAAUACUCAUAUAUAUAAGAAUGACAAAGAUAGAAAAUAAUUAAAUCGAGAUUUUUAAUAUAGUGAUUAACAAAAGAUAUAAUGAUAAUAAAAUGACAGCAAGGGUAUGUAAUAGAGUAAUUAAUGAUAAUAAUAACAAAAAUGAAAAGAAAUUGAAAAGAUAAAAAUAUAAAAUCAUAAUACUAGUAUAACCUUUUGAGUGAGCUUUAAAGGGUGAUCAAGUCCUGCAGAGCUCUAAGCCAAAUUAAUAAUUAGGUAUUUUGGAAAAUAUGAAUCUCUGAACAGCUGACUAGCCCUUCUCCCUAUCCACGCAAUGUCGAUGGCGGUUCUUAUAAUUACCUUAUUAUAAGAUUAUUUAAGUCUUACCCAAUUAAGGAGGAAAAUCCCAAAAAAUAGACAAGCAAUCCAAGUAGCCUGAUUAAUUCCUCCUGUCAGCAUGUCCCCGUCAUUGCGAGAGAAAAGAGCGUGCAUCUCCCUAUCCUCUGAUAGAUAAGAGAGCCCCAUGCAUUUUGGGUGUGAGGCUUUUAUAAACUUGGUCGGGCUUAGACCUUCCUCCUUCUCUAAUGUUCCGUUGCUGGUAUUAUGUCUUGACAUGCCCCCAGCACCCCUCGCUGUUGUCAUGUCCCGACAUGUACCGAGUGGAAAGUACCUUUCACUUUUACUUUUCAACGUGUCCUGACUUUGAUCCUCACUUGCUCACUCAAUUAGGUUUUCAACGAAUACAUUUAGUUACAAGCACUUCAUAUAUGUCUUGAAUUCAAACAAUACA